rnacentral:rRNA from 1 species
CCUACGGGUGGCAGCAGUGAGGAAUAUUGGUCAAUGGACGCAAGUCUGAACCAGCCAAGUAGCGUGCAGGAUGACGGCCCUACGAGUUGUAAACUGCUUUUGUACGGGGAUAAACUGAGACACGUGUGCCUGUUUGUAUGUAUCUUAUGAAUAAGGAUCGGCUAACUCCGUGCCAGCAGCCGCGGUAAUACGGAGGAUUCGAGCGUUAUCCGGAUUUAUUGGGUUUAAAGGGGGCGUAGCCGGGUGGUUAAGUCAGAGGUGAAAGUCUGCGGCUCAACCGCGGAAUUGCCGCUGAUACUGGUCGCCUUGAGUGUAGUUGCGGUAGGCGGAAUGUAUGGUGUAGCGGUGAAAUGCUUAGAGAUCAUACAGAACUCCGAUUGCGAAGGCAGCUUACCAAGCUGCAUCUGACGUUGAGGCUCGAAAGCGUGGGUAUCAAACAGGAUUAGAUACCCUUGUAGUC